AUUGAACGCUGGCGGCAGGCCUAACACAUGCAAGUCGAGCGAGCGGCGGACGGGUGAGUAAUGUAUGGGGACUGCCCGAUAGAGGGGGAUAACUACUGGAAACGGUGGCUAAUACCGCAUACUAUCGGAUAACCCAUAUGGGAUUAGCUAGUCGGUUGGGUAAAGGCUGACCUAGGCGACGAUCUCUAGCUGGUCUGAGAGGAUGAUCUGCCACACUGGGAAUGAGACACGGCCCAGACUCAAAGGGAGGCAGCAGUGGGGAAUAUUGCAAAAUAGGCGCAAGCCUGAGUCAGCCAUGCCGUGUGUAUGAAGAGGGCCUUACUGUUGUAAAAUACUGUCAGCGGGGAGGCGUUACCCGCAGAAGAAGACCCGGCUAACUCCGUGCCAGCAGCCGCGGUAAUUC
rnacentral:rRNA from 1 species